rnacentral:rRNA from 1 species
CUUGCGCAGCCUACCAUGCAGUCGAACGGUAGCACAGAGAGCUUGCUCUCGGGUGACGAGUGGCGGACGGGUGAGUAAUGUCUGGGAAACUGCCUGAUGGAGGGGGAUAACUACUGGAAACGGUAGCUAAUACCGCAUAACGUCGCAAGACCAAAGAGGGGGACCUUCGGGCCUCUUGCCAUCAGAUGUGCCCAGAUGGGAUUAGCUAGUAGGUGGGGUAACGGCUCACCUAGGCGACAAUCCCUAGCUGGUCUGAGAGGAUGACCAGCCACACUGGAACUGAGACACGGUCCACACUCCUACGGGAGGCAGCAGUGGGGAAUAUUGCACAAUGGGCGCAAGCCUGAUGCACCCAUGCCGCGUGUAUGAAGAAGGCCUUCGGGUUGUAAAGUACUUUCAGCGGGGAGGAAGGUGUUGUGGUUAAUAACCGCACCAAUUGACGUUACCCGCAGAAAAAGCACCGGCUAACUCCGUGCCAGCAGCCGCGGUAAUACGGAGGGUGCAAGCGUUAAUCGGAAUUACUGGGCGUAAAGCGCACGCAGGCGGUCUGUCAAGUCGGAUGUGAAAUCCCCGGGCUCAACCUGGGAACUGCAUUCGAAACUGGCAGGCUAGAGUCUUGUAGAGGGGGGUAGAAUUCCACGUGUAGCGGUGAAAUGCGUAUAGAUCUGGAGGAAUACCGGUGGCGAAGGCGGCCCCCUGGACAAAGACUGACGCUCAGGUGCGAAAGCGU